rnacentral:lncRNA from 1 species
GCAGAGUACUGACUUGAGUAUCGGAGGGUCUUAUUAGAGUACCUCCAACUCCGAUUUAGACUUUUCUUGCAGGUCCCGACGGCGACCGUGAUCCCCUCGACUCCAGCUUUUCCGACAUCGGUGAAAUUCUACACCAACAGUGUCCAUGCCAAAAAUUAGAUAUUUAGGCGAGGAAAUUGAACAUCCUUUCUAAAAUAGCGAUUUUAAACAAGGAUAUUUUAAAUCCUUGUCGAAUAUGAUAAUUUUUUAGAUUCAAAAUAAUUCAUAGCCAACAUUUUG